UUCGUUCGUAUACAAGCGGUUGGGACUGAGGAACUCAGCACGCCGAAAGGCCGGGUUUUUAACCACGUACGUGCUUAGGAUGCUGGCAUAAUGGCUUUAAUCGA
rnacentral:rRNA from 1 species